UUUCGAAUCAUUCACAAUGGGCGAAAGCCUGAUGGUGCGACGCCGCGUGAGGGAUGAAGGCCUUCGGGUUGUAAACCUCUGUCACUGGGGAAGAAACGCUGCAUUUUAAUAGAAUGCAGCCUGACUUAACCCAGAGAGGAAGCAGUGGCUAACUCUGUGCCAGCAGCCGCGGUAAUACAGAGACUGCAAGCGUUAUUCGGAUUCACUGGGCGUAAAGGGUGCGCAGGCGGCCGUGUGUGUUAGGUGUGAAAGCCCGAGGCUUAACCUCGGAAUUGCGCCUAAAACUACACGGCUAGAGCAUUGGAGAGGGUAGCAGAAUUCAUGGUGUAGCAGUGAAAUGCGUAGAUAUCAUGAGGAAUACCAGAGGCGAAGGCGGCUACCUGGACAAUUGCUGACGCUCAGGCACGAAAGCGUGGGGAGCAAAAG
rnacentral:rRNA from 1 species